rnacentral:rRNA from 1 species
GACGAACGCUGGCGGCGUGCUUAACACAUGCAAGUCGAACGAAAAGAGGGAAAGAGCUUGCUCUUUCCGGAAUUGAGUGGCAAACGGGUGAGUAACACGUAAACAACCUGCCUUCAGGAUGGGGACAACAGACGGAAACGACUGCUAAUACCGAAUAAGUUCCAAGGGCCGCAUGGCCCAUGGAAGAAAAGGUGGCCUCUACCUGUAAGCUAUCGCCUGAAGAGGGGUUUGCGUCUGAUUAGCUGGUUGGAGGGGUAACGGCCCACCAAGGCGACGAUCAGUAGCCGGUCUGAGAGGAUGGACGGCCACACUGGAACUGGGACACGGUCCAGACUCCUACGGGAGGCAGCAGUGGGGAAUCUUCCGCCAUGGGCGAAAGCCUGACGGAGCAACGCCGCGUGAGUGAUGACGGCCUUCGGGUUGUAAAACUCUGUGAUCCGGGACGAAAAGGCAGAGUGCGAAGAACAAACUGCAUUGACGGUACCGGAAAAGCAAGCCACGGCUAACUACGUG